GUACUUACAUUGGCAGCACACAUACUAAAAUUGGAAUAAUACAUAGAUUAGCAAGGCCCCUGUACAAAAAUGACAUGCAAAUUCAUGAAGUGUUCCACAUUUUU